UACGAACUGUGCGAACGUUAUUCGGAAUCACUGGGCUUAAAGGGUGCGUAGGCGGCUUGUUAAGCAGGGUGUGAAAGCCCUCGGCUCAACCGAGGAAUUGCGCCCUGAACUGGCGAGCUGGAGUGAGGCAGGGGUGUGUGGAACUUCCGGUGGAGCGGUGAAAUGUGUUGAUAUCGGAAGGAACGCCUGUGGCGAAAGCGACACACUGGGUCUCAACUGACGCUGAGGCACGAAAGCCAGGGGAGCGAACGGG
rnacentral:rRNA from 1 species